UACGUAGGGGGCAAGCGUUGUCCGGAUUCAUUGGGCGUAAAGAGCUCGUAGGCGGUUCAGUAAGUCGGGUGUGAAAGCUCCGAGCUCAACUCGGAGAGGCCACCCGAUACUGCUGUGACUUGAGUCCAGUAGAGGAGCGUGGAAUUCCUGGUGUAGCGGUGAAAUGCGCAGAUAUCAGGAGGAACACCAGUGGCGAAGGCGACUUCCUGGCCUGUUCUUGACGCUGAGGCGCGAAAGCUAGGGUAGCAAACGGG
rnacentral:rRNA from 1 species